UACGUAGGGGGCAAGCGUUGUCCGGAAUCAUUGGGCGUAAAGCGCGUGUAGGCGGCCCGAUAAGUCCGCUGUGAAAGUCCAGGGCUCAACCCUGGAAUGCCGGUGGAUACUGUCGGGCUCGAGUCCGGAAGAGGCGAGUGGAAUUCCUGGUGUAGCGGUGAAAUGCGCAGAUAUCAGGAGGAACACCAAUGGCGAAGGCAGGUCUCUGGGCUGACACUGACGCUCAUGCACGAAAGCGUGGGGAGCAAACAGG
rnacentral:rRNA from 1 species